GACGAACGCUGGCGGCGUGCCUAAUACAUGCAAGUAGAACGCUGAAGGAGGAGCUUGCUUCUCUGGAUGAGUUGCGAACGGGUGAGUAACGCGUAGGUAACCUGCCUGGUAGCGGGGGAUAACUAUUGGAAACGAUAGCUAAUACCGCAUAAGAGUAGAUGUUGCAUGACAUUUGCUUAAAAGGUGCAAUUGCAUCACUACCAGAUGGACCUGCCUUGUAUUAGCUAGUUGGUGAGGUAACGGCUCACCAAGGCGACGAUACAUAGGCGGCCUGGGAGGGGGAUCCGGCCCCAUGGGACUGGGACACGGCCCAGACCCCUACGGGGAGCAGCAGUAAGGGAACUUCGGCAAAUGAGGGAAGUCUGACCGGGGAACGCCGCGUGAGUGGAGAAGGGUCUCGGGUCCGAAAGCUCUGUUGUAAGGGAAGAACGAGUGUGGGAGGGAAAAGUUCACGCUGUGACGGUAUCUUACCAGAAAGCGACGGCUAACUACGUG
rnacentral:rRNA from 1 species